CCUCUUCCCAUUCCGAACAGAGAAGUUAAGCUCACUUACGCCGAUGGUACUGCGGUUAUCCCGUGGGAGAGUAGGUAGCCGCCUCUU
rnacentral:rRNA from 1 species